rnacentral:rRNA from 1 species
UCGGGAGGCAGCAGUGGGGAAUAUUGGACAAUGGGCGCAAGCCUGAUCCAGCCAUGCCGCGUGUGUGAAGAAGGUCUUCGGGUUGUAAAGCACUUUCAGCGAGGAGGAAGGGUGGUGUGUUAAUAGCACAUCAUUUUGACGUUACUCGCAGAAGAAGCACCGGCUAACUCUGUGCCAGCAGCCGCGGUAAU